ACUCACUGGACGAGCAGGAGCUGCAAACGCAGCAUCAAACAGCGUGUUCGUUCUCCAAGGUUUUCACUCAUGGAGAGAAGAACUUGGACCAAUCCAGGAUGCGGAGUACCAUAUCCAAGCGGGGAUUGAUAAACCAUGUCUCCAGCGUUUUAUCAAUAAUUGUAAAGCAUUGAUGCAUGUGAAAAGGACUCCUCUCUUGGGAGACUUGUUGAUGACGACCACAGAAGACCUAUUUUUGCAAAAUGAAAACCAUAAGUAAAGAAACCACACUUGUCUCUUCGCGAUUCGAGAUAUUACACCUGGAGAAGAACUGACGUCAACAACGUGACUCAAACUGGCCAUGGAGAGCACAGGUGAGUUACCUUUUUGUUUCUAUAUCCAAUAUGCCACCUACCUGGAUAAGAGUUUAUAUUUCAUGCAAUUUUUUGCAGACACUCCAAACAAGAAAGCUGUAGUAGAAUGUGUUUCUAUCUUGGUUUACUUAGCAGUAACAAUUUGUUUUUAUGAGAUACAUUUCCUAUGCCAGGUUUGAUUACACCAACUGGUUUUUAUUUAUGGAAAUGCCUUUAUUUCCAUAGUUUUAAUGAAUUGCAUUAGUUCCGAUGUCACAGUGGAUUCUGUUUUGGAUUUAUCU